AUAUUGACACUCUUGAUUUCCUAUUGCAGGAGAUAUUCGUUGGUUUUCAGGAAGAUAGUGCUCUAUCUCAUGGGAAAUGGCUGUGGUGAUGGCAAUCAUCUUUCUCUGGUCUUGGCUUUGGUAGAUUGCACAGUUGAGGCUGUUAAAGUAUAUGUAUUCAUUGCGAAUCUUAGAUCAAGUGGGGGAAAAACAUAAAUCUUUUCGAGGUAAGAUGUCUGUCUUUACAUGUAAUUAGUAAGUCAGCUUAGUUAAUUGAAGCCAAAUCCAACUAAUACUACGAGAGUGCUUGCACCAGCCUUUGCCUUGGGCUCUCAAAUAUUCCUUUCGUUGAGUAAGUUAACUGAGCCAGAGACUGGGUUUCUAGCGAAUUACGAUUGCGUGGUGGAGGCUGAGGUCACCGUGCUUGGAAUUUCCGAGUCAUUAUAACAAGCAGUUAAUUGUCCUCCAAUUGGGUUCUUUGAUUGUGAGAUGCUGACUGCCUUCCUGCCUAAUCUAGGAAAUUUAUUUUAGCUGUCAGAAAAUUUAUUUCUCUUGUGGUUUUCAAAAGUACAGCUAUGUUGUUUAUUGUUUAUGCUGUCCAGUUAACUUUUUAGUGUGAUUUUGGUGCUCUAGUUUUAUGCAUCUCUUAAGGGGUGAGGUUUAUUAUAUCCUCUAGGCUAUAAUUCUUCUUUCUUCUAAGAUUUUGAUUUCCCAAAAAAAAAAAAAAAAAGAAGUGAUUGGUACAAAGAAAAUUAGGACGUAAGAGAACUAAUAAUUCCAUUACUAAGAGAAUGAAAACCAAGUACAAUAAAAUCUCAAUUAAAUUAAUAUUGAUGAUGUUGAUUAAAUAAUAAUUUUUGUUAGUUUCGACUAGGAGCCAAUAAGUUAAAUUAAUAAUUCGAUAUAUUAAUUGGAUAAUAUUUUUUCAAAAGAAAAUUAUUUUUCUAUAGGACCUAAUUAAUAAAUAAAUUGAUAAUUAAUUAAUUUGAAACUAAUUACAUAUGAUAUGUUUAUGAUUUUCUUUAUUAUACUGGCAUAAUGCUUUAUGCGUUUUUUCGAUCAUUACUACUUUCUUUACACCUUCCAUAUUGGGAGCCAUUGUUGUAUUAGGUGUUUUAUUAAGAGAAAUAAGAGAGAGAUUGAUUUAAUAUGUUGCCUCAAAAAAGUCUCCUUUGAUGAGUUACCAUCUAAUCUUGAUCUAGCCAUGCAAUCUAGCUAAAGGAUUAUCAAGUAAUUCACUCACUCAAGCAAGGUCCUAUCAUACAACGUGACAUAAUCAUUAAAUUAUCUAAUUAUACUACCUCAAAAUCACUAAAUUCUCUAAUUAUAAUAUCUUUAUAUUUCAUAGAAAAUCCUAAUAUGAAUGCAAUAUUAGUUUUAUAAAGAUAAAUUAAUAAAUUAAUUUAUUGAUAUACUAAUGUUCGAUAAAUUAAUAAAAUUUUUAUGGUCCCAAUACUAUUAAUGUACCGAGAUUAUACUAUAUAUCAUUAGCCAAAGUAUUUUCCAUUUUGUUAGUAAUAUAUUGAGUGAAGCAGUUGAAGACAAUUAAUCCACGCACUACUAGAAAGAUGGGCUAGCAUGACAGAGAAUAUUUGUCAUCCGACCCCCCUUAUGACAGAGUUUUUAUGUAUCAUUGUAGCCCCUGCGAUAAAUCCAUGACAUUAUUUUAUCUAUCACAUCUUCCAUGACAAUGUAUAUCUAUCACACAUAUGUCAUUAACCAUGCAACGUCGUUUUGCAAGACUUUUUGAAAUUAAUAGAAAAUUUUAGUGGGUAAUUUAAAUUGUUUUGAAUUUGGUGGGUUUCUUCAAAAUAUGUCAUAUAUUAAUGAUUUGUAUUCUUUGUCAUGAGAUUUAAGGUUUAAAGAAAAAUAAAAUUAUUAUUUUUAAUUUUGAAAUUAUAAUAAUACUAAUUAUUAUUAUUUAAAUUCCAGAAUUUUGAAAUAGAAAUAAUAAAAAUCACAUUUCAAAACUUGAAUUAACUGAAAUAAAAAUUACAUUCAAAUUCAUAAAAACUAUUAAAUACCAAAUAGCAUCAUAUACUAAAAAUUUCAAUCACUGGAAACUUCCAACAAAUAGCAUCAUCAAAAUACAUGGUGAAUCAAAUCCAUAAUAAUAUCUCAUAAAUCCUUUACAAUAUCUAAUCACCAACCCAUCCUAGAAAAACAGUUAAUCCAUAAAAAAAAAAAAAAAACAUUGAUGGUAAAUUCUCAAAAGCCACCAACAUCACCUGAAAAACAAAUUACAUUAAGAUGAGUACCAAAAAAAUGCAAAUUAACGUAUUGGCCACUUAUAGUUAAUCAAAUUCAUAAGGAGUCAUCACACACUUCAAUAAUCAAGAAUAAUGAAGAAUUUUACAUAUGUAACAAAAACCUAUAAUUACUAACAACAAUCAAUGUAUCAUUUUUGAACUCUUAAAUUCCUUGUCUAGAACCUUUUGACAGCCUUUUAACUGGAAUUUCUUGCCUUUCUACCUAUGUACCACAGAUAUGCUAAUUAGUUAGUAUAAAAAGAAAACAUGAUUUAAUAUGAGCAUAAUACCACAAUAUUACCUUGUACACUGGCCCAAAUCUACCUUCUCCCAGUUUAUUGUAACUUAAGAAGUUAUUUGUGGCGUUUGCUAUACUGGCAUAAACAAAUUCCCAGGCCAUAUCUUAUUUUGCUCCUUCAUUAUUAUAAUUUUUUAUAUGAUUCAUCUUUGUUAAUCCUAAAAUUGUAGGAGAAUUCCAUCAUGGAUAGUGAAUUUAUUUAGCUACUAAUUGGAAACAAUGAAUUUUAUUUGCAACUAAUCCAAAUGAAUGAUAUUAGCAAAACGCUUCGAAUAACGAGUUUAAAGUCUCCAGAGCUCACCAGAGCUAGUUGGGUGUGUAUUUUGAAGAUAUAAUAUCCACACAACCUCAACUUGUGUGGUAUGGUUACUUAUGAUCUUUUUCUAUCUUUAUUCCAUUAAUAUUAAUGCAAACUAUAUAUAUAUAUAUAUAUAUAAUCAUGCACAUUUGGAUUAAUAUUGUUUGUAACUGUAAGAACAACUAAUAAAAUUACAUAAUCAACCCAUAAAAAAAACCAACAGCAGUUAAAUUCAAUAAAAAAAAAACUAGCAGUUAAAAUAGCAACAAUGGUUAAAAAAAAACAACAUAAAUUAGAGAAAUGGAAAGUUUCUUCCAGGGCAGAAAUCAGAGAAAUCAACACAUUAGUGCCCAUCAUAGCAGAGGGCGUCCAAGACAAGUAUUUUCCAGUAAACUUAUCAUACUCAUCAAGCAACUAGUAAUUUCCACUUUAAAAAGUGAAGAAAUUAGAUAUCUAACUAAUCCAUAAAUUCAGGAUAUCAAAAAUCUUGACAAUUACAUAAAUUUUUUUCUACUACUUAUUUAGAUUCCAGUUCUUGUUCUGAGAUUACCAAAAGUAUUAACGCAGAUGAAACCAAGUUUCCAGUAUAGAGCCACUGUUUAGAACUUCACUUCUCAAUUAGUAAAGGCAACAGCCCAAUGCUAUGCUAGCCUUUCCGUCUGAGAAAGAGAUGAGGUUAUUCAGAUUUUGAAAUAAUGCUAGUGACAUGGGUAGUUUAAGCCAAAACAUAAUUUUAAAAUAAUCGAUAAUUAGUCCAGCAUGUUGUCCUUAAUCUCUUGAACAUGAUAUUCCUUCUCAUCUACUUUUUUCUUCCCAAUGAUAAAUGAACUUCAUCACAUGGCCAUGAUUAAUUCAAACAAACAAAAUUAAUUCAAAGAGAAGUGUAUUAACCGAAGAUAAAAUAAAUUAAUUCAAAGAAACAAAAUUAUCACAUGGCAAUAACUGAGAAUAAAAUGAAAACUAUUUGUGCGUACUUAUUUUUUGAAUGGGAACAGAGAUGAGACUUAGAAUCAAUUAAAUCCAACCCUAAGUUGAUUAAAAGAAUAAUUAAUUCAAGCAUAACCCUAAAAUUAUCUAAAUUAGAAUGAGAGAAGUAAGAAAAAUCAAAAUUAAAGAAAAAAACAUGUCGAUACAUAACUACUAAACUAAUAAGCCAAUACAAAACCCUAGAUCUAGCAAAUAAAUCAAAAUCAAUUGAAAGCUAAUGGUUCACCAAAAAAUAAACAACAUCAUAGAAUAGCAAUCAGAUCAAUCAAAAUAAACGGCGUAUAGAUCACAGAAAAAUCAAAUCAAAUCAAAUCAAAAGAAUAUAAUAUAAGAAAAAGAGGAAGUAAAGACCUAGCUGAACUUGUGCGUGUUGUUCAUCGGCAAGUAGUAGCAGCAGCAGGUCGAAGAGUAAGGAUGAAGACAUAUAAGAUUCAAGACGUUUGGAAACUAAGAAAAUAUUGAGAGAAAAUAAGAAGAUUCUGGAAAUUUGUUUUCUACUUCAUUCAUCAAAAAUUACAAAAGAAACUGUACACAACUAAUUUUGCUUAGCUAACUAAACAUGCUAAACAUGCUAAACAUGCUUAAUAGCUACUAUAACAAAACGAAAACUAAUAUUCACGUGUACAAGAAACUAUAUAACCACCAGGUGCCAGCUGGCAUGCCAAGUCAUCAACUUGUAACUGUGAAUUGCAACUGUUACAAUCCUAUGCUUUGCUGACCAUUUUGCUCAAAUGAGAUUCCUUAACAAAGACGAAGACGAAGAGUAGCAAUUUGUUGUCGGCAAAUAGCGCAGUAGAGGACCAAAUUUUUUGUCAGCAGCGUG
rnacentral:lncRNA from 1 species